rnacentral:rRNA from 1 species
UACGAAGGGGGCUAGCGUUGCUCGGAUUUACUGGGCGUAAAGGGCGCGUAGGCGGGUGUCUAAGUCAGGGGUGAAAUCCCAGGGCUCAACCCUGGAAUUGCCUUUGAUACUGGACAUCUUGAGUACGGGAGAGGUGAGUGGAACUCCGAGUGUAGAGGUGAAAUUCGUAGAUAUUCGGAAGAACACCAGUGGCGAAGGCGACUCACUGGCCCGUUACUGACGCUGAGGCGCGAAAGCGUGGGGAG